rnacentral:misc_RNA from 1 species
AAGCUGGAGUACUUCUCUAUCAUUGAACAUUUUGUGUUUUCAUUGUUUUCAUUUUUGUCAAGAUUUUUUUUAUAUGUGGUUCCAAUCUCUUCUCUUUUCUCAUUUCAGUAUGAAUACUUAAAACAACCUUUCCAUGAUUAUUUUUUCUUGUGAAUUGUAUAGCUUGCAAAAAGUUAUCCGGUUAUAAAACUUGGCAAAUGUCCUGUGGACACAAAGACAUGAAAGUGUAUUGUUACAAUACAAUAUUUUCCUGUUUAUGUAUGAUAGUUUCAACAGUUCAUCUUGCCAGAUGUAGUUCAAAAACUUAUUCCCUUAAAAAUGUGUCAAUGUCUGCAAGAUAGAGUAACAUAGGAAUAUGAAUUACAUAUUCAAACCUGGAUGAGACCAAUAUAUGUAUUGCGAGAUACAUGUAUUAUGUUAGCGAUGAUAGAUUUUCAAGUACACUAGUGUAUUUGCUGUUUGUGAUAUUGAGUGAAAUGAUUCAUAGAUCAUUAAAAUGUAUUUUAUAUCU